rnacentral:rRNA from 1 species
UACGGAGGAUCCAAGCGUUAUCCGGAUUUAUUGGGUUUAAAGGGUGCGUAGGCGGCCUGUUAAGUCAGGGGUGAAAUUUUUCGGCUCAACCGGAAGCUUGCCUUUGAUACUGAUGGGCUUGAAUAGACCUGAGGUAGGCGGAAUGUGACAAGUAGCGGUGAAAUGCAUAGAUAUGUCACAGAACACCGAUUGCGAAGGCAGCUUACUAAAGUCAGAUUGACGCUGAGGCACGAAAGCGUGGGGAUCAAACAGGAUUAGAUACCCUGGUAGUCCACGCCCUAAACGAUGAACACUCGAUGUUAGCGAUAUACAGUUAGCGUCUAAGCGAAAGCGUUAAGUGUUCCACCUGGGGAGUACGCCCGCAAGGGUGAA